rnacentral:piRNA from 1 species
UCCAGCUCUCGAAGACAAUGUUUCUGUUGGA